rnacentral:rRNA from 1 species
GUAACUGAACAAGUCUUGACGGUACCUAACCAGAAAGCCACGGCUAACUACGUGCCAGCAGCCGCGGUAAUACGUAGGUGGCAAGCGUUAUCCGGAAUUAUUGGGCGUAAAGCGCGCGUAGGCGGUUUCUUAAGUCUGAUGUGAAAGCCCACGGCUCAACCGUGGAGGGUCAUUGGAAACUGGGGAACUUGAGUGCAGAAGAGGAGAGUGGAAUUCCAUGUGUAGCGGUGAAAUGCGCAGAGAUAUGGAGGAACACCAGUGGCGAAGGCGGCUCUCUGGUCUGUAACUGACGCUGAUGUGCGAAAGCGUGGGGAUCAAACAGGAUUAGAUACCCUGGUAGUCCACGCCGUAAACGAUGAGUGCUAAGUGUUAGGGGGUUUCCGCCCCUUAGUGCUGCAGCUAACGCAUUAAGCACUCCGCCUGGGGAGUACGACCGCAAGGUUGAAACUCAAAGGAAUUGACGGGGACCCGCACAAGCGGUGGASMAUGUGGUUUAAUUCGAAGCAACGCGAAGAACCUUACCAAAUCUUGACAUCCUUUGAUCGCUCUAGAGAUAGAGUUUUCCCCUUCGGGGGACAAAGUGACAGGUGGUGCAUGGUUGUCGUCAGCUCGUGUCGUGAGAUGUUGGGUUAAGUCCCGCAACGAGCGCAACCCUUAAGCUUAGUUGCCAUCAUUAAGUUGGGCACUCUAGGUUGACUGCCGGUGACAAACCGGAGGAAGGUGGGGAUGACGUCAAAUCAUCAUGCCCCUUAUGAUUUGGGCUACACACGUGCUACAAUGGAUAAUACAAAGGGCAGCGAACCCGCGAGGUCAAGCAAAUCCCAUAAAAUUAUUCUCAGUUCGGAUUGUAGUCUGCAACUCGACUACAUGAAGCUGGAAUCGCUAGUAAUCGUAGAUCAGCAUGCUACGGUGAAUACGUUCCCGGGUCUUGUACACACCGCCCGUCACACCACGAGAGUUUGUAACACCCGAAGCCGGUGGAGUAACCUUUU